rnacentral:misc_RNA from 1 species
AAGCAAUGCCGAGUACGAGCGAUGGAGAUAUUGGAGCAGCACCAGACGUCUUGGGAACCGACAUGAGGAAUGCUGCUGCUGACUCCACGGAAAGCGAACAGCGCACAGAUAUCAACGAUGUAUACGGCGACGUCGACCGCGGCGACACUGCAUCAGGGUAAAGGCCCCACAAAUGCGAAAUGUGUGAAAAAUCGUUUAAAUACAAACAUAAUCUCGUGGCGCAUCACCCCACGCAUACCGGCGUCAAGCCAUUUCGUUGUGGCAUAUGUAGUAAAUUGUUUGCACGGAAGGAUUCUCUCACAUCACAUUCUCUUACACAUAAAGACGAGAGGCCCUUCGAGUGCACGAAGUGCACUAAAUCCUUCACGUAUCUAAGAUGCCUUCGUCAGCAUGAACGUCAGCAUACGUGAGAGGAGCGGUAUAAAUAAUAACUAUAUAUGUGGUCAUUCUUCGAUAAUAUUGUCG